GGUGAGGGUGCCUGGAGGAGGGUGGCAGGGCCUGUCCCCGAUCCUGCGGGAUGAGGCUGGAUUUGGUCUGCAGCAGGUGCUGGCCACCCUCAGACCCCAUACGCCCAGCAGGGAACCAAGGCCAAGGCUGUGUUCAGGGCUGAGGGUGGAGAUGGGAGCCUCGAGCUCCAGCCCCGCACUGCCCGGCCGGCACCCGCUCACGCCCUCGCCCACCGGCACCUGCUCUGGGGCAAGGGCAGCAGUCCUGUGCCUGUGUGCAGCUGUCCUGCUGGGCAGUGCCAGGUACGUGGUGGCCACGGGGAGUCAGGCUCAUCCCUUCUGCGGCUGACUGAGGGCUUCCCCAAGCAGGCAGCAGGGCGGGACGAGACACCCUCUUCUGGUCCCCUGGGGAGCUGGGACGGCCUCUGGGGUUUCACCUUGAAAGAGAGUGCACCUGCUUGUGUGUGCUGUGCACACACGUAUCUGCGUGUCCGCGAGUCACACGCCUGUGCCUGUGCCUGUGCCUGUGCUCCCACACCCCAGGGAGGAGAGCCCCCGCCUUCUCAGGAGGAGCUCGUGGGUGGGCGGCAGGGACCCUGUCGCCAAGUCCACUGGGGGAAGCCAGAGGGGCUCCCUUGGGGGCCCAACCCCUUGCCUUCUCUCCACUCCCUCACUGGCCCUGUAGCCCCGCCCCCUCUGCGCGUGGUCUGCCUGGCACUCUCCAGCCAGCCGAGACCCACACCCCACGCCCCACCUGCCUGCUCCCCUGGGAGUCCCCAUUUCCGCCCAUGACCCCACGCUGCUUUCUCCCAGGGCCAGGGCUGGACGGGUUCUCAUUUCUCCCUCUGUCCUUGAGCUGGUGGCCUCUCCGCCCGCCAGACCGUCCACUGUCCUGACCCCGGCACACCUGGCUCCUGGGUGUCUGGAGCUGUGUGAGGGCCUCAUGCUCCUGGGCCACUCUCCUCCUCUCCCAGCCGCUGGGGACUUCGGUGCUGUUGCCUGAUCUUGGGGCCCGAGGCCUCUGGGUUGGAGGCUGGGGGAGAUCCAAGGUCAGGAGGCCAGAGCUCCUCCCAA
rnacentral:lncRNA from 1 species